ACUCAAAUGAAUUGACGGGGACCCGCACAAGCGGUGGAGCAUGUGGUUUAAUUCGACGAUAAGCGAGGAACCUUACCAAGGCUUGACAUGUAGCUGCAUCUUCUAGAGAUAGAAGCGCCUUCGAGGGUGCUACACAGGUGCUGCACGGUUGUCGUCAGCUCGUGCCGUGAGGUGUUCACUUAAGUGUGAUAACGAGCGCAACCCCUAUUACCAGUUACAAGUGUCUGGUGAAACUGCCGGCGUUUAAGCCGGAGGAAGGUGGGGAUGACGUCAAAUCAGCGUGGCUCUUACGCCUUGGGCGACACACGUGCUACAAUGGGAUGGAACAAAGGGACGCCAACCAGCAAUGGGGAGCAAAUCCUAGAAAACAUCCCCCAGUUCGGAUUGAGGGCUGCAACUCGCCCUCAUGAAGCCGGAAUCGCUAGUAACCGUAGAUCAGCCUCGCUACGGUGAAUACGUUCUCGGGUUUUGUACACACCGCCCGU
rnacentral:rRNA from 1 species